UUCACAUACGAUCACCGAAGUUAAGCAACAUCGAGCCUGAUAAGUACCUAAAUGGGUGACCGCUUGAGAACACCAAGUUCUGCAAG